UUUACUGCUUAAGUUUAGUCUGACAAUGGCAGCUACAUGAUGUGAAUUGACACUCUGUGUUAUGCUAGUUGUUACUCUAUAAAAGUAUAAAAGUAUAAAAGAGCGUUUGUAUUUUUUCCUGUUGUUAAUGAAAUCUGUCAAUUAAAUCUGUCACUCCGGUCGUUACUUUGGUUAGCCAUAGGUGUGUAUGAGACCAUGCAUACAGCAGAGGGUAACCCCGUAGCAUAUGUUCGUAUCAUCACACGCGUAGCAGUUGUCUGCAUUCUUAUCACUUUGUGGGAGUAGAGGUGUGUUUCCCCUAGACUGUGUUCGAGUUCAGUGGAAACAAGAAGAGAGGUCGCAAUCCGUUGCCUGAUGGUGUAUCUGAAAGAGAAAGAAGAGGAUCUCUUCAGAGAACAGCUGGAUGGUGAAGAACAGUUCUCAGAAGAAGUGGUAAAGAUCGUAGUCACCAGACGUGCAGCAGUGCCACUUCCAGCCGUCGCUAAAAUUGUGAUUGAAGGAACAGCUGUCCUGGAAGACCUUGAUGUGCCCAGAGCGUGUGCCUUAAUGAUGGGACUUAUAUACGCUCUCAAUCUGAGCUACCCCAAACAAGUAAAGAACACUCUAGAGGUAUUCCAGAAGGUGUUUCUGGAACUUGAUGGGCUUAAAGCCAGCCCACAGGUAAUGUCUCUUAAGUACAAACUUCUGUUAUAAAACAAAUGUAAUUUAGGCUGCAAUAUUCAGAUGUGCUGAUGCUUGUGUUUUUUAUGCAGUCUUAGACAAGUGUAGUUUUGAGAGUUCAUAAUACGUAUAACCUUACCUUUGGAUUGUUGCGUUGUUAAAUAUUAACAUGUUUUGUAAUUUUCUUGAUUCUGUGAUAUUUACCAAGUUGCUAGGUUAAAGUUAAUGUUUAAUAAUACCGGUAAGCAGAUUUGCAAAAACAAAUUGCCUCACUUUGCAAUGUUUGUUUUCUGAGGUAUUUUAGAAGGGUGUGAUUUAAAAUUAUUGUUAUUUGGAAGACUUGAGAUAUAUAUAUAUAUAUAUAUAUAUAUAUAUAUAUAUAUAUAUAUAUAUAUAUGCGCCGCUUUAUUUUUAAUAUACCUUUACAAAUCUUUAUAGUGGUUCUCAAAGUCGGUCAUCAGGCCCCACUGCUCUGCUUCUUUCUAUUAAUAACUAAACACUGUUGAUUGGCUGGUGUGUUCAGUUAAUCAGAAGUUGUAGACACCAUUGUGGAGUAAGAAAAACGAAGUAAAUUGGUAUGUUUUAGCUUCUGAUUCAACACCACCUUGUCCAGGUAAUAAACAUGCUACAUUUUCUUUUGUUACUGAGGUUGUUUGUGGAGGAAUUGUACUGAAAUACAUUAUUGUUUUUGCCCACUCAUUUAUAAUUAAAGGGCUGCUGUAAUGUUUGAUUUAUGUUGUAUGACACAGAAGUGUAUUACUUCGAAAAUGUUAUGCAAUAAACUGUUUCAUCAGUUGGGAUAAUUUAAAUGGCUA
ensembl:lncRNA